UCCCUAGCCUCAGCCGGGCUCUUGGCAGGGCUGCCUGAUGGAGCCAGCUUCCUGGCUAAAACUCAGUCUUUGGUGGCUGUUAACAGGUUUUGCUUCAAUUCAACUAUUUCUGAGUUAGCGUUGGUUGGCUCUGGGGUUAGGGGCAAAGGCCUGGAGUGGGAAACAGGAGAAGGAAAAUGAAAUGAUACUUUGCUUGAAUCUACAGAGUUGAAUUGUCUUCCCACUUUUUGUAGAUUCUGAGGUUAGAUUGGUUUGGUGUUUUCUCUCACUUGCUAAGGUGAAUGGUAAGAAAUGGCCCCCCAAGUACUAUCUGUGGCAUGUUUAGUUCUAGGUUAUUGUAAAAAAGGUGGAGAAGGGAGGUAGGUAGGCCUGAUGUCCCCAUACAUCAGAGAAUAUAAAGAGGCCGAGAGCCAAACGUGUUACAGCUUUUUUCUCAAUGUGUCAAGCAAUUUCCCAAGGUUCUAUAGUCUAUAUCUAGACUAUAGUGGUGUCCACAGAGACCCCAUCUGCCUGGGCUAUAAGAGAAGGAACACUGAAUGACUCAAAUCACGCUGAAACAGAAAGUUUUUCUUAACAAUACAAUAUAAAAGAGAAUAGGCAACAUGAAAGCCUUAGAGAAUUAAUUCACUCCACAAACAUCUGUCCACAGCCUACUUUGUGCCUUGGCACAUGAAGAGAUAAAUAUAGACUUGGGAUCCAAAUUAAUUUCCAAAUAUCACGGGGUGAGUCUCAGUUGUAAGCAGUGAAAAGAGCGGGGAAGAGGAUAUUUACUCUUUUCAAACUUGCCUGCAAGGGAGCUGUGGUGGAAGCAUAGUCCAGGAGGCAAGGAGACCUGGGAUCCUGGAUCACCUCAUUUUACUGAUGAUCACUGUGGCUUCUGGCUGUAAACUCCUUGAGGCAGAGACUCUGAAACCUCAGCAUCAGACAUGGCACAAAGCCUGUACUCUAAACAUCUGUGAAAAGAAUGAGUGAAUGAAUGUGUGAACUCAUACCAUGAACUUCUGGUUAUGAGGAGACCCCUUUCCUGGGAUUCUCUGGGGAGUCUGCAUGCCCUGAUAUCCAUGGGAAAGAAGUUUAGAAAGCAAGAGCCAUGGAAAAUACAGAUGCAAAUGGGAAGGUGUGGCUCCCUUGUCCCUUUUAACGGAAGUUGAGCUUCAAGCAUUCAGGUUUUUGAUCACCCACAUUUCCUCAUCAUUUGGGCACUGAAAGCCUCUCUUCUCGCUGAGGAGCAAAUUGGAAAAACACAUGCCACGAGAGAUUGUACCUCUGAGCAGAUGCAAUUGACGCAGUAAACCAA